rnacentral:rRNA from 1 species
UACGUAGGGGGCGAGCGUUGUCCGGAUUUAUUGGGCGUAAAGAGCGUGUAGGCGGCCAGGUAGGUCUGCUGUGAAAACUCGAGGCUCAACCUCGAGACGUCGGCGGAAACCAUCUGGCUAGAGUCCGGAAGAGGAGAGUGGAAUUCCUGGUGUAGCGGUGAAAUGCGCAGAUAUCAGGAAGAACACCCGUGGCGAAGGCGGCUCUCUGGGACGGUACUGACGCUGAGACGCGAAAGCGUGGGGAGCAAACAGG